rnacentral:rRNA from 1 species
UACGUAGGGGGGCAAGCGUUGUCCGGAUUUAUUGGGCGUAAAGAGCGUGUAGGCGGCUGGGUAGGUCCGCUGUGAAAACUCGAGGCUUAACCUCGAGACGUCGGUGGAAACCAUCCAGCUAGAGUCCGGAAGAGGAGAGUGGAAUUCCUGGUGUAGCGGUGAAAUGCGCAGAUAUCAGGAAGAACACCCGUGGCGAAAGCGGCUCUCUGGGACGGUACUGACGCUGAGACGCGAAAGCGUGGGGAGCGAACAGG